GGAAUCCUGUUCAUAAUGGUC
rnacentral:siRNA from 1 species